rnacentral:rRNA from 1 species
GGCGAACGGGUGAGUAACACGUGAGCAACCUACCCUCAACUUUGGGAUAAGCCUCGGAAACGGGGUCUAAUACCGGAUAAUACUGACAGUUUCAUGAUUGUUGGUUGAAAGUUCUGGCGGUUGGGGAUGGGCUCGCGGCCUAUCAGCUUGUUGGUGGGGUAAUGGCCUACCAAGGCGUCGACGGGUAGCCGGCCUGAGAGGGCGACCGGCCACACUGGGACUGAGACACGGCCCAGACUCCUACGGGAGGCAGCAGUGGGGAAUAUUGCGCAAUGGACGAAAGUCUGACGCAGCAACGCCGCGUGAGGGAUGACGGCCUUCGGGUUGUAAACCUCUUUCAGCAGGGACGAAGCGAGAGUGACGGUACCUGCAGAAGAAGGACCGGCCAACUACGUGCCAGCAGCCGCGGUAAUACGUAGGGUCCGAGCGUUGUCCGGAAUUAUUGGGCGUAAAGGGCUCGUAGGCGGUUCGUCACGUCGGGAGUGAAAACUCGGGGCUUAACCCCGAGCCUGCUUCCGAUACGGGCAGACUAGAGGUAGGCAGGGGAGAGCGGAACUCCUGGUGUAGCGGUGGAAUGCGCAGAUAUCAGGAAGAACACCGGUGGCGAAGGCGGCUCUCUGGGCCUUACCUGACGCUGAGGA